UACUGACCAUAACACCCGGAUAACUCCCAAUCUGGUUUGAUGUCAGACGCUAAACAGGGUUGGGUCUGGUUAGUACUUGGAUGGGAGACUGCUGGGAAUAUCAGGUGCCACAGGGU
rnacentral:rRNA from 1 species